ACCUGAUGAUGUGGGCAUUGAUGUAGUAAGUCCCUAAAAUGCUCACAGGUCUCGAAGAAUAGUUCCGCACGCUACUGAGAAAAACUAGUGAUUGCCCUUUGCAACU